CAAAACACUGGUUCCCAUAUGAUCACUGAAGUUAAGCAAUGUUGAGCUUGGUCAGUACUUUGAUGGGUGACCACUUAGGAAUAGCAUGUUCUGUA